rnacentral:rRNA from 1 species
UACGUAGGAUCCGAGCGUUGUCCGGAUUUACUGGGUGUAAAGGGCGUGUAGGUGGGUUUCUAAGUCGGUGGUGAAAUCCCGCGGCUCAACCGCGGAACUGCCAUCGAUACUGGGAAUCUUGAGUUCGGCAGAGGGAGAUGGAAUUCAUGGUGUAGCGGUGAAAUGUGUAGAUAUCAUGAAGAACACCGGUAGCGAAGGCGGUCUCCUGGUCCGAUACUGACACUGAGGCGCGAAAGCGUGGGGAGCAAAC